rnacentral:rRNA from 1 species
GGAAACCCUGACGCAGCAACGCCGCGUGUGGGAAGAAGGCCUUCGGGUCGUAAACCACUUUUGCACGGGACGAAAAAGGGAUAUCGAACAAAUAUCCCCGAUGACGGUACCGUGAGAAUAAGCCACGGCUAACUCUGUGCCAGCAGCCGCGGUAAGACAGAGGUGGCAAGCGUUGUUCGGAAUUACUGGGCGUAAAGAGUCUGUAGGUGGUUUGUCAAGUCUUUGGUGAAAGGCCGUAGCUUAACUAUGGGAAUGCCAAAGAGACUGGCAGGCUGGAGGCUGGGAGAGGGAAGCGGAAUUUCUGGUGUAGCGGUGAAAUGCGUAGAUAUCAGAAGGAAGGCCGGUGGCGAAGGCGGCUUCCUGGAACAGUCCUGACACUGAGNGACGAAAGCGUGGGGAGCAAACAGGAUUAGAUACCCUGGUAGUCCACGCCCUAAACGAU